GGCACAUCCUCUAGCCGAGGAGACACCUUAUUACCCAUAUACGCCACUGAAACAUAGCACCAUUAAGUUAGCAAAUCUCCUAGGCGGUGUUCUAAAUUUGAUGAUUAUGCCAAACUUACAAACAAGAUAGCCAGGGCGGGUCCUAAAGUACACGAGCUGCCUCGCUGUUGUAAGACGUCAGGAUGUCUGUAAACCCAGAGCCUCGUCAGUCUGCCCGGAACCGAUCGUCACGUGAUGGUCUAGACCGAUCUGUGUAUAAUGCAGAUAGCUGCCAUUGCUUGUUUUGACAGGUCGUCGCUAUACGAGAGAUCAACGAUGACCACAAUAAAGCGCUCAGCAGAGUUUCUCCAAUUUGAUCAUUCGUCUAUCUAUGGGUACGCAGGACGAAAAACACUAUUCAGUAAGUGGCUUUCUACAGGUACAAUUGCUGCGGACCUUUUGGAAGAACGGUCGUGAUCGCGCUGGGCUUUUUCCGAUGAAGUCUGCAAGUAACUACAUUAGUCGCCGACAGAAGCGGUAGCGCCACCACCAUCAGUAGGGAAGUAGAAUGCGCCGAUCCAACAGCGGUUUUAAGCACUGA